CUGGGCUACCUUUGCAGGAGGUGUUGCUGUAGGAAGAAGCGGUGGCUGUCAGGGCAGCUGAGCCUCAGCCUCAAGGUUAAAUCCAAAGCGCCUGACCUGGAACUGGAGAGCACUCGAUCUUCCAUUCUGCGGCAGAGGCUUAUGGGGGCGAGCAGUUAUCCCGGGGAGGGAACGGGGCCUGGGACACGACGCAAGGACUCAGGGCGGGAGGAGGAGGGAUAACAGAGACUGAGUGUGCUUGUGCCUGGGUUUCUCCUACCCAAGCAGAGACGUGUGGCCAUCAGAACGGCUGGGCCCCAGGCCUCCGUCGCUUGAGCAGGGCUGGGGCUGCAGGAUGCGCCUGAAGUCCAAGGCGUAGAGGAGAGGACAAAUCAGGCAGUGCAUCCUCAAACCCCGAUUGGUCCCAACCCGCGAUUCCUCUGCUUUCUUCAGGGAGCGGACCCAGGGAGGUGAGAGAGCAGAUGAUGCCAAAGCAUUUUAUAUUUGUAAAAUUCCAUCUGAUACCCUGAACGAGCUCCUUCAGUACAACCCUCUGAGGUUGAUGAGGAGCUCGGGUGGCCCCGGCCCCACCACGGAUGCUGAUUAUUGGGGUAACCGAGGCAGCAUGGGGUGCUCCCGCCUGCCACACACAGAGAUCACACGAAGCCCCUAGGAUGGACACGGGCUAAGCCGAACACUGGCCGGACUGCUCUGUACCCAGAACUUCCUGCAGGUCACAGAACCAGGUCCACGAAGGCCAAGCUCCUGCACUGCAAUCCCAGCUUCCUGACGGUCACUGUGCGGACACAGGCGCCUGCUGUCUGGCUCCUCCACCCCCUCUGAGCUCCUCUGUUUAUGCUUGUCCAGCUCCUCCUGAAAGCUUGUCACAGCAUUUCUUUUUCUUUUCUCUUGGUACCGGGGAUUGAACUCAGGACUUUCCACUUGCGGUGCAGGCAAAGGAACCACUGAGCUAAAUCCCUCGCCCUAGCUUUUCAUUUUCGUCAUCUUACUUCUCCAUACAAUGUAGCGGAGACCUACAUUGCUGGAUUAAGUUUUCUCCCCUCUUUCCUUUCAUCCACAGGAGUUUGCAUGUAAUAAACAGAAGACAACCCGUAUGCCCCCUGCACUUUAUGGGCGGACAAGACAAAUGGUCCGGUCUCAGAUGACAACCUAGAUUUAUAAUUUCACACCUGAAACGCUUGUUCGAUUACCAAGGAGGGGGACUGGAAAUUGUUCUCCUCCUCAGACCAUUUUCAGAAAAAGAAGCAGUUGAGAAAAUUACUUGUAGGGUCCUUUCUCUGGAAAGUAUCAUUGUUUUGGGUUUGUUUGUUUGUUUUUUCCUUGUGGCCGACUUAGGCUUAUAGUCUCUGUAGCUAUCUCUCUCUGUCUGUUGCCUCUCUCCAGAAGGAAAAAUAAACAAAACUCGG
rnacentral:lncRNA from 1 species